AACGAACGCUGGCGGCAGGCUUAACACAUGCAAGUCGAACGCACCUUUCGGGGUGAGUGGCAGACGGGUGAGUAACGCGUGGGAAUCUACCCUUCUCUACGGGAUAGCUCCGGGAAACUGGAAUUAAUACCGUAUACGUCCUGAGGGAGAAAGAUUUAUCGGGGAAGGAUGAGCCGGCGUUGGAUUAGCUAGUUGGUGGGGUAAAGGCCUACCAAGGCGACGAUCCAUAGCUGGUCUAAGAGGAUGAUCAGCCACAUUGGGACUGAGACACGGCCCAAACUCCUACGGGAGGCAGCAGUGGGGAAUAUUGGACAAUGGGCGCAAGCCUGAUCCAGCCAUGCCGCGAGAGUGAUGAAGGCCCUAGGGUUGUAAAGCUCUUUCAGUGGGGACGAUAAUGACGGUACCCACAGAAGAAGCCCCGGCUAACUUCGUG
rnacentral:rRNA from 1 species